rnacentral:misc_RNA from 1 species
GAAACAAUAAUCAAAUCUCAAGUUCAAAUUCAUUUGCCAAGAACGGAAGUUGUCAUAAAUUUCUUUGAACACAGAAAGAGCAAGAUAUUUAAAUACUCUCUCUUUCUCUAUUGCAUCCCCAACCGAAAACAAAAACUACAAGAAGAAUUUGAAAAUUAUCAAAAGCCAAAUCUCAGAAACCCACAAAAUACAGACACAGCAUGAGCUAAAAACAUCAAAUUUUCCCUUUCUAAUCAUCAAUUGAUCUCUCUAUGAAUAAAAGUGUGAUCUUUGGUUAACACCUUAAACUUGCAAGGUAGAAUACCAACCAAUGCAACAAGAAACUAUGGUAUCAUGGGCAGAUUAUUAUUUUAGUGAACACUUGAAUUGUGACGCAUGUAAAGCCAUCAAUUUGUCAAAGCAUAAAUCCAGAUAUUGCAAAAGAGAGCAUCCAAAGCUUACAUUCUUAUUUUCAAGCAAGAAACUUUGAUUUAAUAACUUGGCCCUUUAUCCAUUAAAUGGCAGAGACUUCUGUUCAGUCCUAUCCACAUGCCAUCAAAACAACUCGCUGGAAGUGCACUAAUGCUUAUAAGGAGAUAGUGAUCUAGAAGAACAAACCAAUUUAAUGAUAAAGCUGAGGUCAUAAAUACUCUCUCCUAUGCAGCUGACGGAUCCAGGCAACAUACAAAAGGCAAGCUCCAAUAAUCUCCUUAAACUGGACAUAUUACCACAUCAACAUAACAAGAAAUUACAGCAAACAUAUUAUUGUACAAAAACUUCCAGUCUCUGAUGCACCCAAGGGAUCCUGGCAACAAUCGAAAGGCAAGCUCCAACUUAAUAACCUUAAACUGGACAUAUCAUACCACAUCAACAUAAAAAGAAAUUACAGCAACCAAUAAAAAAAAAAAAAAACUUCCUGUGUCAAUAAUUGGUGCACGCGAAAAUCCAUGGAUUUCUCAUUGCACUUGGACAGUCCUCAAAAAGAAAACACAAACCUAUCCAAAUUUUCAAAAUAAUGGGGAAUUUUGGCAAAUUCGUACAAGCUCAUACCACAGUUGUAAUUUUUAAAAUUAUUAGGAUGAAAGGAAACAAGAGAUCAAUCUCAAUCGCUAAAAAUAAGGGAAAUAAAGACUUUAAAGGAAUAAUAUUGGAUACCACAAAUUUUCUUAGGUAACAAAGGAUAUUCCAACUAGUAGCCCUACCUGAUAAGCAGCAGAAACCAACUAAUCAGGGCAAAAAUAAAAAAUAAAAAAAGGACACUCCCCAAAA